rnacentral:rRNA from 1 species
UCAAAUCGGGUGAGACUACCCGCUGAACUUAAGCAUAUCAAUAAGCGGAGGAAAAGAAACUAACAAGGAUUCCCCUAGUAACUGCGAGUGAAGCGGGAAAAGCUCAAAUUUAAAAUCU